AUGCGACACGGCCGUAGAGGUGGCAAGUUGUAGCCUUGCCUUAUGAGUAAAUUUACUCUGUCGUUU
rnacentral:tRNA from 1 species